CGGCGUCCUCCACAAGGCCGUUCCGCCGUGGCGGUACUCGGACGUGCUGCGUCCCGGCGGUCUCCUCCCACGAUCUCGCCCCCGUGUGGCCGAUCUGAGCCCGCAAUAAUUGACACUGCUAUGUGGCGUGGUGGAGGUAGGGUUGCUCCCUACCAUUGUGCUGGAUGAUGGGAAGAUGAGGCCCGGGUUCUACAUACUGACCCAUUAGGUGCUCAAGUUCAAGUACUCCGGUGGCUGCGAGAUACAGGGAAACUUGAAGAAGCUGUUGGCCAAGGCUGAAUCCGAACUCAGCAACUGUGUAUGUUCUGGCGUUAUGACGGUGCUGCAUACAACAGUGUCCGCCUCAAGUGGUUGCUGUUGUGGUGACAACAGUGUUCUUCUUUGGUUACAACCAUACUGGCAUCAUCAAACACACCAUGCAGAUCAUCUGCCUAGCACCAGGAUGAUGACUUGGAGGAUUUGCAUCACUCGGUCCUCACAAGCAUGCAGUGCAACUUUUCCAUAUGAUAAACUAUAAUUUUGUCUGGCUGGAUGAGAUAUCAAGUUUGGAUGGCUCUCUAAGCCAUACAAGGGUAUUGGUGUCUGCUUUGAGCAAACAGUAAAGGGUGAAGAUUUUUGCUCACUUUGGAUUGGGAACACUGGUAAUGUGAUCCUUACUUCCCAUCUCAGGUAGCUAUCCCCUUAAGUUUCAGGUGUUCUUAAGAAGGUUUUCAUUAGCCUAUAUAGUUGCUCCCUAACCAGUAACCAGUCCUUGUAUCUAAGUUUCAGGUGUUCUUAAGAAGGUUUUUAUUAGCCUAUAUAGUUGCUCCCUAACCAGUCCUUGUAUCUAAAGAUCAGGCCUGGCUCUGCCAAAGGGUAGAAAACCCGUGGAUUGGCUACUGCUUUGCUCCGCACGUGGGAUGAAGCUGCUGGUGAUCUGCAUGCCGCGUCAAACAUUGAGUGGUGCCUCAUGCACACAAGAUGGUGGAGCACCACUGGAGGUAUGGCGGCUGUGGAAACAGAGGGAAGAAAAGAAAGCUGAGCGUCACUGGCUUCAUCGUCGUGCUGAGGAACACAGGUGGUGGACGGAGGACGUGCCGGUGGGCGAGCCUUGUGUUUAGUCCGGUGGUGCUAGGUAGCUGCUGGGACGCGGAGCUGUAGUGGCUUGUUGUUGGUAAUUUUAGGCCGUACGGAAUCUUUAUGUUUUAUCGUGUGUAGCCGUGUAGGAAAACAAUACCGUGAUGUUUACAGUAACAUGCUCAUUGAUGGCAUGGAGUCUCGAGUUUUGUGUCUACAUCAUUGCUGGUCUAUCUUUGGUUGCCCUUGAAUGGAUUACAGCCAUGCUUGCUAUACAAUAGGGGUUAAUGAUCAUGACGUCCUUGUCGACAUGUUUCUCUAUGGGCUCUGUUAAGAAUUUAGGGCCUGAACUAGUUUAGGAAUUGACAAUUUGAGCGUCUUGAUAACUCUGCAAUCCUAAACGUGGUGACCUGCUUUGGUUUGUAGGAGUUGGUCGUGGCACUGAUAAGUAGUGUUUUAGUUGAUUGUUUAUGUGAUGGAUAGGAUUCCUUAAUGUUUGAUUUUAGGAUUGUAGCUUUGUUUUGGUUUUGAAAAAAUAGAGCCCGUGUGUUUUGCAAUAUGUUGUAUCCGCAUGAAGCUUGUUUGAAAUAUGAUGGUUAGUAGAUUGGUUGUUGGUAAUGUUAGGCUGUCCGGAAUCCAUGAGCUUUUAUUGUUGGUAGGAGAAAAACAAUCCCUUGAUGUUUACAAAAACAGUUGUAUAUAUGUGGUUGAAUUGGUGUCUAAGCGCUGCAAUGCAGAAACUCUGCAUGGUCGUUUCUGCUGCAGGGGAUGGCGAGUCGUCGGCGAGGACGACAUGCCCAAGCCAUGUGCUUUGUCUAAUCUUUGUCUGAUUUAGUCGGGCGUCCAUCUCCGGGCUGUUGUGCGGCUACUUGUUUGUCAUCCGGUGAGACCUCUCAUCAUCAAACACACCAUGCAGAUCAUCUGCUCUGCAGGGGAUGGUGAGUCGCCAGCGAGGAGACAUGUCCAGGCUAUGUGCCGUGGCUCAUCUUUGGCUGGUUCAGUCUGGCGUCCAUGUCGGGGAUGUUGUGCUGCUGCU